rnacentral:rRNA from 1 species
AUGAACGCUAGCGGCAGGCUUAACACAUGCAAGUCGAGGGGUAUAGUUCUUCGGAACUAGAGACCGGCGCACGGGUGCGUAACGCGUAUGCAAUCUACCUUUCACAGAGGGAUAGCCCAGAGAAAUUUGGAUUAAUACCUCAUAGUAUUGUAGAAUGGCAUCAUUUUAUAAUUAAAGUCACAACGGUGAAAGAUGAGCAUGCGUCCCAUUAGCUAGAUGGUAAGGUAACGGCUUACCAUGGCAACGAUGGGUAGGGGUCCUGAGAGGGAGAUCCCCCACACUGGUACUGAGACACGGACCAGACUCCUACGGGAGGCAGCAGUGAGGAAUAUUGGACAAUGGGCGCAAGCCUGAUCCAGCCAUGCCGCGUGCAGGAUGACGGUCCUAUGGAUUGUAAACUGCUUUUGCACAGGAAGAAACAACGCUACGUGUAGCGUCUUGACGGUACUGUGAGAAUAAGGAUCGGCUAACUCCGU